rnacentral:rRNA from 1 species
CCAGACUCCUACGGGAGGCAGCAGUGGGGGAUAUUGCACAAUGGGGGGAACCCUGAUGCAGCGACGCCGCGUGAGGGAAGACGGUUUUCGGAUUGUAAACCUCUGUCUUUAGGGACGAAACAAAUGACGGUACCUAAAGAGGAAGCCACGGCUAACUACGUGCCAGCAGCCGUGGUAAUACGUAGGUGGCAAGCGUUGUCCGGAAUUACUGGGUGUAAAGGGAGCGUAGGCGGGAAUGCAAGUUGAAUGUUUAAACUAUGGGCUCAACCCAUAGUCGCGUUCAAAACUGCAUUUCUUGAGUGGAGUAGAGGCAGGCGGAAUUCCUAGUGUAGCGGUGAAAUGCUUAGAUAUCACGAAGAACUCCGAUUGCGAAGGCAGCCUACUAAACUGCCACUGACAUUGAUGCUCGAAAGUGUGGGUAUCAAACAGGAUUAGAUACCCUAGUA